UACGUAGGGCGCAAGCGUUGUCCGGAAUUAUUGGGCGUAAAGAGCUCGUAGGUGGUUUGUUACGUCUGCUGUGAAAACCUAGGGCUUAACCCUGGGCCUGCAGUGGAUACGGGCAGGCUAGAGUUCGGUAGGGGAGACUGGAAUUCCUGGUGUAGCGGUGAAAUGCGCAGAUAUCAGGAGGAACACCGGUGGCGAAGGCGGGUCUCUGGGCCGAUACUGACGCUGAGGAGCGAAAGCGUGGGGAGCAAACAGG
rnacentral:rRNA from 1 species